rnacentral:rRNA from 1 species
GACGAACGCUGGCGGCGUGCUUAACACAUGCAAGUCGAACGGUAAGGCCCUUCGGGGUACACGAGUGGCGAACGGGUGAGUAACACGUGGGUGAUCUGCCCUGCACUUCGGGAUAAGCCUGGGAAACUGGGUCUAAUACCGGAUAGGACCACUUCCUGCAUGGGUGGUGGUGGAAAGCUUUUGCGGUGUGGGAUGGGCCCGCGGCCUAUCAGCUUGUUGGUGGGGUGAUGGCCUACCAAGGCGACGACGGGUAACCGGCCUGAGAGGGUGACCGGCCACACUGGGACUGAGAUACGGCACAGACUCCUACGGGAGGCAGCAGUGGGGAAAAUUGCAUAAUGGGCGCAAGCCUGAUGCAGCGACGCCGCGUGAGGGAUGACGGCCCUCGGGUUGUAAACCUCUUUCAGCACCGACGAAGCGCAAGUGACGGUAGGUGCAGAAGAAGGACCGGCCAACUACGUGCCAGCAGCCGCCGUAACAC